rnacentral:tRNA from 1 species
GGGGAUUAGCUCAGUUGGUAGAGCGCCUGCUUUGCACGCAGGAUGUCAGGAGUUCGAAUCCCCUAUCCUCC